GCGCACAUCGGCAGCACCGGUACUAAAAUUGGAAGGAUACAGAGAAGACAAGCACAGCCCGUGCACAAGGCUGACACACAAAUUCACGAAGCGUUCCAUAUUUUA